GGGCCCGCACAAGCGGUGGAGUAUGUGGUUUAAUUCGAUGCAACGCGAAGAACCUUACCAGGGUUUGACAUCCUCGGAACUUUCUAGAGAUAGAUUGGUGCCUUCGGGAACCGAGUGACAGGUGCUGCAUGGCUGUCGUCAGCUCGUGUCGUGAGAUGUUGGGUUAAGUCCCGUAACGAGCGCAACCCUUAUCCUUAAUUGCCAGCGGUUAGGCCGGGAACUCUAAGGAGACUGCCGAUGACAAAUCGGAGGAAGGUGGGGACGACGUCAAGUCAUCAUGGCCCUUACGAGUAGGGCUACACACGUGCUACAAUGGCGCAUACAGAGGGCGGCCAACUUGCGAAAGUGAGCGAAUCCCAAAAAGUGCGUCGUAGUCCGGAUUGGAGUCUGCAACUCGACUCCAUG
rnacentral:rRNA from 1 species